GGCGGCAGGCCUAACACAUGCAAGUCGAGCGGUAGAGAGAAGCUUGCUUCUCUUGAGAGCGGCGGACGGGUGAGUAAUACCUAGGAAUCUGCCUGAUAGUGGGGGAUAACGUUCGGAAACGGACGCUAAUACCGCAUACGUCCUACGGGAGAAAGCAGGGGACCUUCGGGCCUUGCGCUAUCAGAUGAGCCUAGGUCGGAUUAGCUAGUUGGUGAGGUAAUGGCUCACCAAGGCUACGAUCCGUAACUGGUCUGAGAGGAUGAUCAGUCACACUGGAACUGAGACACGGUCCAGACUCCUACGGGAGGCAGCAGUGGGGAAUAUUGGACAAUGGGCGAAAGCCUGAUCCAGCCAUGCCGCGUGUGUGAAGAAGGUCUUCGGAUUGUAAAGCACUUUAAGUUGGGAGGAAGGGCAGUUACCUAAUACGUGAUUGUCUUGACGUUACCGACAGAAUAAGCACCGGCUAACUCUGUGCCAGCAGCCGCGGUAAUACAGAGGGUGCAAGCGUUAAUCGGAAUUACUGGGCGUAAAGCGCGCGUAGGUGGUUUGUUAAGUUGAAUGUGAAAUCCCCGGGCUCAACCUGGGAACUGCAUCCAAAACUGGCAAGCUAGAGUAUGGUAGAGGGUAGUGGAAUUUCCUGUGUAGCGGUGAAAUGCGUAGAUAUAGGAAGGAACACCAGUGGCGAAGGCGACUACCUGGACUGAUACUGACACUGAGGUGCGAAAGCG
rnacentral:rRNA from 1 species